UGAGGAAUAUUGGACAAUGGAGGCAACUCUGAUCCAGCCAUGCCGCGUGCAGGAAGACGGCCCUAUGGGUUGGAAACUGCUUUUAUACGGGAAGAACCACAUCUACGUGUAGAUGCUUGACGGUACCGUAUGAAUAAGGAUCGGCUAACUCCGUGCCAGCAGCCGCGGUAAUACGGAGGGUCCAAGCGUUAUCCGGAAUCAUUGGGUUUAAAGGGUCCGUAGGCGGAAUAAUAAGUCAGUGGUGAAAGUCUGCAGCUCAACUGUAGAAUUGCCAUUGAUACUGUUGUUCUUGAAUUAUUAUGAAGUGGUUGGAAUAAGUAGUGUAGCGGUGAAAUGCAUAGAUAUUACUUAGAACACCUAUUGCGAAGGCAGAUCACUAAUAAUAUAUUGACGCUGAGGGACGAAAGCGUAGGUAGCGAACAGGAUUAGAUACCCUGGUAGUCUACGCCGUAAACGAUGGUUACUAGCUGUCCGGCCUAAUUGAGGGCUGGGUGGUUAAG
rnacentral:rRNA from 1 species